AGCGAACGCUGGCGGUAGGCCUAACACAUGCAAGUCGAACGGCAGCACAGUAAGAGCUUGCUCUUACGGGUGGCGAGUGGCGGACGGGUGAGGAAUACAUCGGAAUCUACUUUUUCGUGGGGGAUAGCGUAGGGAAACUUACGCUAAUACCGCAUACGACCUACGGGUGAAAGCAGGGGAUCUUCGGACCUUGCGCGAUUGAAUGAGCCGAUGUCGGAUUAGCUAGUUGGCAGGGUAAAGGCCCACCAAGGCGACGAUCCGUAGCUGGUCUGAGAGGAUGAUCAGCCACACUGGAACUGAGACACGGUCCAGACUCCUACGGGAGGCAGCAGUGGGGAAUAUUGGACAAUGGGCGCAAGCCUGAUCCAGCCAUACCGCGUGGGUGAAGAAGGCCUUCGGGUUGUAAAGCCCUUUUGUUGGGAAAGAAAAGCAGCAGGUUAAUACCCCGCUGUUCUGACGGUACCCAAAGAAUAAGCACCGGCUAACUUCGUG
rnacentral:rRNA from 1 species